CGCAAUACUGAAUCCAGUGAUACUAAGGGUCCUUAAGUCCCCUGUUGCGCCCUUCGGGGUGUUGGGGUGAGGCUGAACGCCUGGCCUGAACUGGUAGUAGGUAAGCGAUGGGGUGACGCAGGAAGGUAGCCCAGCCCAGGCGAUGGUAGUCCUGGGGUAAGCAGGUAGGGAGGAUCGUAGGUAAAUCCGCGGUCCAUUAAUCCUGAGAUGUGAUGCCGAGCCGAUUGUGGCGAAGUGGGUGAUCCUAUGCUGCCGAGAAAAGCCUCUAGUGAGUGUCGUGGCGGCCCGUACCCCAAACCGACUCAGGUGGUCAGGUAGAGAAUACCAAGGCGAUCGGGUGAACUGUGGUUAAGGAACUCGGCAUAUUGCCCCCGUAACUUCGGGAGAAGGGGGGCCUCCGCUGGUGAUCAGACUUGCUUUGUGAGCUGGUGGGGGUCGCAGAGGCCAGGGGGAAGCGACUGUUUACUAAAAACACAGGUCCGUGCGAAGUCGUAAGACGAUGUAUACGGACUGACGCCUCCCCGGUGCUGGAACGUUAAGGGGACCGGUUAGCGCAUUUCGGUGUGCGAGGCUGAGAACUUAAGCGCCAGUAAACGGCGGUGGUAACUAUAACCAUCCUAAGGUAGCGAAAUUCCUUGUCGGGUAAGUUCCGACCUGCACGAAUGGCGUAACGACUUCCCCGCUGUCUCAACCGCAGACCCGGCGAAAUUGCACUACGAGUAAAGAUGCUCGUUACGCGCAGCAGGACGGAAAGACCCCGGGACCUUCACUACAGCUUGACAUUGGCGUUUGGAACGUCUUGUGUAGGAUAGGUGGGAGACUGUGAAGCUGUCACGCUAGUGGCGGUGGAGUCAUUGGUGAAAUACCACUCUGGUCGUUUUGAACGUCUAACUUCGGUCCGUGAUCCGGAUCAGGGACAGUGUCUGGUGGGUAGUUUAACUGGGGCGGUUGCCUCCUAAAGAGUAACGGAGGCGCCCAAAGGUUCCCUCAGCCUGGUUGGUAAUCAGGUGUCGAGUGUAAGUGCACAAGGGAGCUUGACUGUGAGACCGACGGGUCGAGCAGGAGCGAAAGCUGGGACUAGUGAUCCGGCGGUGGCAUGUGGAAGCGCCGUCGCUCAACGGCUAAAAGGUACCCCGGGGAUAACAGGCUGAUCUUCCCCAAGAGUCCAUAUCGACGGGAUGGUUUGGCACCUCGAUGUCGGCUCGUCGCAUCCUGGGGCUGGAGUAGGUCCCAAGGGUUGGGCUGUUCGCCCAUUAAAGCGGUACGCGAGCUGGGUUUAGAACGUCGCGAGACAGUUCGGUCCCUAUCCGCUGCGCGCGCAGGAGACUUGAAAGGAGCUGUCCCUAGUACGAGAGGACCGGGACGGACGAACCUCUGGUGUGCCAGUUGUUCCGCCAGGAGCAUGGCUGGUUGGCUACGUUCGGAAGGGAUAACCGCUGAAAGCAUCUAAGCGGGAAGCUCGCCUUGAGAUGAGGUCUCCCACCACGAAAGUGGGUAAGGCCCCCGGGAGACGACCGGGUUGAUAGGCCGGAGGUGGAAGCAUGUUAACGUGUGGAGCUGACCGGUACUAAUAGGCCGAGGACUUGACC
rnacentral:rRNA from 1 species